GUGUCGGAGCUCGAGGCCUGGGCCGCCUCCAUGAACGCGCUGUUCGAGGAGGCCGAGCGCUUCCACCUGGUCGUGGAGUGACCAGAGAGACCCCCAGAGACCCCCGGGAGAGCCCCCCAAGACACCUGGGGACCCUCAGAGACCCUCAGGAAACCCCAAGGGACACCUGGAGACCCCCAAGAGCUCAGGAGAAACCUGGGGACCCUCAUGGGACCCCCGGACCCCCCAUAAUGUGUGGGACACCCCCCGAUUUUUGGGACCCCACCCCCGUUUUUUCCUCAAUAAACUCGGUUUCUGCCGCGGCCUCGCUGUGCAAUGACGCAGUUUGUGGCGUCACACACCCGCAGAAUUGGGUCACUGUCUCUUUAAGAGCGGGGGCGUGGCCUUGCAGCCAAUCACCGUGCGGCGCGAUGACAUCACCCGCCGAAGGGGCGUGGUUCCUGCCAAGCCACGCCCCCGGGGCGCCCAGGUCCCCCCAAAAAACUUCCCCGGCUCCCCCCGGCCAUGGAGCCCCCCCGAGCGGCGCCCCCUCCCCCCGAGAUGGAAUUUGGGGGGCCCUGGGGCGCGGGGGCUCUGUCGCUGCUCCUCCCUUUGGGGCUCGUGGGGGGUCGUGAGCGCCACGGUGGGGGGGGGGGGGGGGCUGGGGGGCCCCUCCCCCCGCCCUGGCCGUGCCCACCCCCGCGCUCGCGCUGGUGCUGGCCUGGGUGGGGGCGCUCGGAAUGGGGGGCUGGAGACCCCCGAGGAGCCCCGGUGACCCCCCAGGACCCCUCCGGGACCUCGGCUGGCUGCUGUUGCUGGGGGGGGCCCUGGGGGGGUCCCUGGCCCUGGGGGUCCCCCUGCCCCCCCUGUGCCCCCUCCUCCCCCCGCUGGCCGCGGCCGCCUCCAGCGUCGCCUUCGGCCUCGCCCUCCUCAUCCUCGCGCGGCGGCGGCUGCGGGCGGGGGGCACCGGACACCCCGUGUAUGAAUUCUUCGUGGGGGGAGGAGCGGGGACCCCCCUGGAGCCCCCCGAGAAUCUGAACUGGGAGCGGGUCGGGCUCUGCGCCUGGUUCCUGGUGCUCUCCGCGGCCCUGGGGGAGCAGCAGCGCCUUUGGGGCUCCCCCUCGCUGCCGCUGGCGCUCGUGGCGGCCGCGCAGGGGGGGGCGGUGCUGCGGCGGCUCAGGGAGCUGAGCGCGAGUCCUGCCCCCGGCCCCGGGGGGUUCCUGGGGCUCUUUGGGGGUCUCGCCUGGGGCCCUUUCGGGGGUCCCCUCCCAGCGCUGCUGCUGCUGAGGAGACCCCAGCAGGGGGCUGGGGGGCGCCGCGGGGGCGGCCUGUGGGGGGCUCUACGGUGGGCACGGGGGCGUACUGGGGGAACUGGGGAGUUCUGGGGGGAUUUGGGGGGGAAUUGGGGGAUACUGGGGGGCACUGG
rnacentral:lncRNA from 1 species